GAUGAACGCUGGCGGCGUGCCUAAUACAUGCAAGUCGAGCGAACAGACGAGGAGCUUGCUCCUCUGACGUUAGCGGCGGACGGGUGAGUAACACGUGGAUAACCUACCUAUAAGACUGGGAUAACUUCGGGAAACCGGAGCUAAUACCGGAUAAUAUAUUGAACCGCAUGGUUCAAUAGUGAAAGACGGUUUUGCUGUCACUUAUAGAUGCAUCCGCGCCGCAUUAGCUAGUUGGUAAGGUAACGGCUUACCAAGGCAACGAAGCGUAGCAGACCGGAGAGGGUGAUCGGCCACACUGGAACUGAGACACGGUCCAGACUCCGACGGGAGGCAGCAGUAGGGAAUCUUCCGCAAUGGGCGAAAGCCUGACGGAGCAACGCCGCGUGAGUGAUGAAGGUCUUCGGAUCGUAAAACUCUGUUAUUAGGGAAGAACAAAUGUGUAAGUAACUAUGCACGUCUUGACGGUACCUAAUCAGAAAGCCACGGCUAACUACGUGCCAGCCGCCGCGGUAA
rnacentral:rRNA from 1 species